GCCCCGCUUGCGGGGUGGAUCAGUGGCGAACGGGUGAGUAACACGUGAGCAACCUGCCCUGGACUCUGGGAUAAGCGCUGGAAACGGCGUCUAAUACUGGAUAUGAACCGCAGCCGCAUGGUUAGUGGUUGGAAAGAUUUUUCGGUCUGGGAUGGGCUCGCGGCCUAUCAGCUUGUUGGUGAGGUAAUGGCUCACCAAGGCGUCGACGGGUAGCCGGCCUGAGAGGGUGACCGGCCACACUGGGACUGAGACACGGCCCAGACUCCUACGGGAGGCAGCAGUGGGGAAUAUUGCACAAUGGGCGGAAGCCUGAUGCAGCAACGCCGCGUGAGGGAUGACGGCCUUCGGGUUGUAAACCUCUUUUAGCAAGGAAGAAGCUUUUUGUGACGGUACUUGCAGAAAAAGCGCCGGCUAACUACGUGCCAGCAGCCGCGGUAAUACGUAGGGCGCAAGCGUUAUCCGGAAUUAUUGGGCGUAAAGAGCUCGUAGGCGGUUUGUCGCGUCUGCUGUGAAAUCCCGAGGCUCAACCUCGGGCCUGCAGUGGGUACGGGCAGACUAGAGUGCGGUAGGGGAGAUUGGAAUUCCUGGUGUAGCGGUGGAAUGCGCAGAUAUCAGGAGGAACACCGAUGGCGAAGGCAGAUCUCUGGGCCGUAACUGACGCUGAGGAGCGAAAGGGUGGGGAGCAAACAG
rnacentral:rRNA from 1 species